UACAGAGGGUGCGAGCGUUGUCCGGAAUCACUGGGCGUAAAGGGCGCGUAGGUGGCGAGCCAAGUCCAUGGUGAAAGCUCGAUGCUCAACAUCGAGUCGGCCACGGAUACUGGUGCGCUGGAGCACUGUAGAGGCUAAUGGAAUUCCCGGUGUAGCGGUGAAAUGCGUAGAGAUCGGGAGGAAUACCAGAGGCGAAGGCGGCGAACUGGACAGUUACUGACACUAAACUACGAAAGCGUGGGGAGCAAACAGG
rnacentral:rRNA from 1 species